CCUGAUUUCUUAGAAUUUGAUGUUUCAGUGGUACGCUUGGAGUUGGUAAUGGCAAGUUCAGUUCUUGAUUCUGAUAAGUUCGUGAAGCAGUUUUAUAUCCCUGAUCAUAUAUUUUUGCCAUACUCCAUGCCCGAGUGUCCACUUGUUAUACCCGAAUGCCCUGUUCUUGUAUUCGUCAGUUCUAAAAGUUCUCAACACUUUAUUGUUCAAUACUGAACAAAAACCAGGUGAAGUCUCCAUUCCUUUUGCUUUAUUUUGCGUAAUUAUAUGGAUUCCAAAUUCAUUAUAUCUUGAUAAGAAUGUUACUGUAGAAAGCUAUCGAUCAUCAGUAAUUGAUAUAGAAUAGUAUAGUAUAUGACUAACCUUACCUUUAUUCUCUCUUUCAUAUCAAAUUUGGCAUGGAUAUGUUAUUUAUAAGUUGCCGGUGAAGAUGGUACAGCUGGUUGGCUUCUUGGGGUCAUUUCUGAUCUAAAAUUGUCUCAGCCACCACCUAUAGUUACGGUGCCUCUCGGAACUGGAAAUAACCUUCCAUUUGCAUUUGGAUGGGUAUGCAAAUUUUUUCAUUUGUUUAUUGGCCAUAGAUGAUGCAUAUAUGCUUUUCUUGACUUAUAAAAAAAAAAAAAAAAAAAUAUAUAUAUAUAUAUAUAUAUAUAUAUAUAGAGAGAGAGAGAGAGAGAGAGAGAGAGAGAGAGAGAGAGAGAGAGAGAGAGAAUUUACAAUAUGACUAUUAUCUUGCUUUCAUUAUAACUCUACAUGGAUUUGCUCAAUAUUAUUUGGACUGAUAUAAUAUGUGCCUAAAUCUAUGAACUAACCAUCUUUUGGUCGAAAUUUGGUCACAACUUGCGGCUUUUUUGUUAAUUAUGAAAGUUGUCUUUUACUUUCUGCACUAUAGUCUUUCUUUACUGUUUUAAUCCCCAAGAGCUAACUACUGCAUUUUCUACGGGCAAAUGCAAAAUUUGAAUGACAUGAAUCAAUUUCAAAUACUUUCUAGUUCCUUUGUGCAUUGACCUUAGGUUCUCCAGAAUAUUGUAAUUCCUCAAAAUAUAUAUGAAAUACAUUAACUUUAAAAUUCAGAGUAUUGUAAUUUAUUUGUUGCUGCUCUUCUUUUUCCUGAGUGCGACUUUUUUGUUAUAAUCCAGCUGGCACAUUCUCAUGCGGAUGAAAGUGCCAAAAGAAGGUCCUUGUAAUCCAAUUGCCCCACUGGAGUUGCCAUAUUCACGGCAUGCAUUUCAUUGGGUACCUUCUACAGACGCUCUCAAAGUGGUAAGAUUACCUUUUCCCACAUUAAAAUUCAUUUACAUUUCCGUUGUAUGUUGUUUUCCCAUGGUCCAAUUUUGGCAGAUGCUCUAGGUUUAAACAUGCUGUUCUAUACAUUGUUUUUUAAUCAAAUUUUAUGUUCUAAUAUCGAUAAAAAUGACUAUUCAUGUAGGUGGAACUUUCGAUUAGAUUAUUUAGUUUUGGUCUCUCGGUUCUUCAAGUUGUAAAGCAAAGGCACUAUUAAUUAAAAAAGUAGAUCCUGCAUUCUUCUUGUGUGGUGCAGUUGAUAAUCUACUACAAUUUAGUUAAGAAUACUAGAAAAAACAUGGAAUGUGUUCAACUCUUAAGCCAUUUUGACUUCUGUCCAAUGUGCAAUUCCAACAGAGUAUGAAAUAAGUGCAGGAUCCCAAUUGUUUUGGGCGUGAAAAUUUUUAUUUAUGAAUCACAUUUUCAAUAAGAAGAAUAAACUCUUACCUAGAAUUGAUCCCACAGACUGCAAACUAUAUAGACAAUUAUCCAUCUUAUUGUAACAUGCUGAUGAUGCCUACAUGAUGCGAUUUCUCUAAUUUAAAGAUAGUACUGUAACUGCAUUAUCAAUUAGUAAUUCAUGGAGAAAGUACCGUAACUACAAAUGCAAUUCAUUCUCGUUGGCACGUAAUGGGUGUUGGUCGUCUGUGCUGGUAGAUAUAACAAAGCAAUAUGUGACUUUGUCUUCUUUAAUUUCCGAAGUCUAGACCAAUUCUGUUCUCAAGUCUUAGAAAAAAUGCUUCCGUUGUUUUGUUAUUUUCAUGUUUGACUGUUUUGCAGGAAGGUAGAGUCAAUUUCCGUGGUGGAUUUUGGAAUUUCUUCAGCAUGGGUGAGUCUAUAAUUGCUUAAUAAUAACCAAUAUAUAGCCUUAAAUCGCCGUUGUUGGUGAAAUUUGUAACCAUCUCAAACUGGUGUUGCCAGUUGAACUGUAAAUGCAUUUUUUCGUAUAAUUAAAAUGUUAUCAAGUUUUGCUAGAGCUUGAGUCUAAGUAACGGCAGCCCAUCUGAAUGAUAUGCUCACACAAAAUACAAUGAAAUUUAAAAGCAGACCUUAGCUGCACAAAUCCACACUUAAUCUGCAAUCAUUCCCUUAGGAGAUCUGGACCUUUUUUUUGCUCCUUCAGAAAGAGGAUUCAUUCUCUUCCUAAAAAAAUGUAGAU
rnacentral:lncRNA from 1 species